rnacentral:rRNA from 1 species
UACAGAGGGUGCAAGCGUUAAUCGGAAUUACUGGGCGUAAAGCGUGCGUAGACGGUCAUGUAAGUCGGGUGUGAAAGCCCCGGGCUCAACCUGGGAAUUGCGUUCGAGACUGCAUGGCUAGGAUGCGGAAGAGGGAAGCGGAAUUUCCGGUGUAGCGGUGAAAUGCGUAGAUAUCGGAAGGAACACCAGUGGCGAAAGCGGCUUCCUGGUCCAGCAUCGACGUUCAGGCACGAAAGCGUGGGGAGCAAACAGG